AACGAACGCUGGCGGCGCGCCUAAUACAUGCAAGUCGAGCGAGAAGACGUAGCAAUACGUUUGUAAAGCGGCGAACGGGUGAGGAAUACAUGGGUAACCUACCCUCGAGUGGGGAAUAACUAGCCGAAAGGUUAGCUAAUACCGCGUACGCUCCUUGGACUUCGGUUCAGGGAGGAAAGCGAUACCGUGGGUAUCGCGCUCUUGGUUGGGCUCAUGUCCUAUCAGCUUGUUGGUGAGGAACGGCUCACCAAGGCUUCGACGGGUAGCUGGUCUGAGAGGACGAUCAGCCACACUGGCACUGCGACACGGGCCAGACUCCUACGGGAGGCAGCAGUAAGGAAUAUUGCGCAAUGGGCGAAAGCCUGACGCAGCGACGCCGCGUGGGGGAUG
rnacentral:rRNA from 1 species